GUCCAGCUGACGAGUCCCGAAUAGGACUAAACACGCGUGCUGGAU
rnacentral:hammerhead_ribozyme from 1 species